UUCAAGAUAUGCAAAUCAUGUCAAUCUAGGUGAUAAGAAAACAAAACAAAAUAUUAACAGAUCAUGAUUUUGUUUAGCGAGUUAAGUAGACUUGCCUGUUUUUUUUUUUGGAACACCCUUUUAUUUCCUCUUCUCAGAGGCCGAGGGAGAUUUUUUGUGGUUCCCAAAAGAAAAAAAGAAUUAUACAGAAAAGUUAUGGCAAGCAAAAAAGGGAGAAAUUAUACAUAGAAAAGGGAAAAUGAAGGUGAGAAAAUAAAACCUGUGAGUAGCCAGAUGAAAAAAUAGUGAGCGAUCUACAAGAUCACACAAAAAAUUGUGGUCCAAAAGAAGUAAGAAAUUAGGCAUAAAAAUAGCAAAUUAACUAUAUAAAAGAACCUGGUAUCAGAUUUUCAGCUUCCAAUAGUGGGGAAAAAAUUAGAUAGAAGAGGAGGAGAUAAAAGGAGAGUUGAAUUUAAGGAAGACUUCUUCAUAAAAUGAGUCUUCAGAGGUUUUGGUAUGGAGAAGAAAGAUGAUUUUGGAUGGACAAAAGAGAAGUGAGGAGAGAUGAUCGAGAAAAACGAGUCAUGGAUAGGUGAUUUGCAGCGGAGA
rnacentral:lncRNA from 1 species